UACAGAGGUCCCAAGCGUUGUUCGGAUUCAUUGGGCGUAAAGGGUGCGUAGGCGGCGCGGUAAGUCGGGUGUGAAAUCUCGGGGCUUAACUCCGAAACUGCAUUCGAUACUGCCGUGCUUGAGGACUGGAGAGGAGACUGGAAUUUACGGUGUAGCGGUGAAAUGCGUAGAUAUCGUAAGGAAGACCAGUGGCGAAGGCGGGUCUCUGGACAGUUCCUGACGCUGAGCCGCGAAAGCCAGGGGAGCGAACGGG
rnacentral:rRNA from 1 species